GUGAUUCUGGAACAUUAGUUCUGGUAGAGGCCAGCUGCCAUGCCAUAAAGACAUUCAGGCAGCUGAUGGAGAUACUGACCUGAUGUUGAGCUAUGGCUUCCUACCAUUAACAAGCAUUAACCUGACAAGGAUGUGAGUGAGCCACCUUGGAAGUCCAUCCUCCAGUCCCAGUCAAGUCUUUAGAUGACUACAGCCUCAGCUGAGAAUCUGAGCAUAAUAUCAUGAGAGUCUUGAAGCUAGAACUACUCAGCCAAGCUGCUUCUGAAUUCCUAACUCACAAAAACUCCAAUGACCGGUGAUGCAGAGUAAUGCUGGCCCAGUUCCUUUGCUUUGAUUUAUGACAAUAUGAAGAAUUAUUUCAAUUCCAGAGCUCUUCACAAUGUUUGCUGAGGUCCUUUGGCAAUUUCUCUUUUUACGCAAUGCUGCUUCCUUUAGUGCCAGGUAAUCAUCCUGUGAGAAUUCUCAUUAACAUUCUCUCAUCUCAGAGGCUUGGUUUGAGAGAAACCAAUCUUGACAGAGAAAGAAGAGGCUCUUCAUCUUAGUCUGACUGUUGUACAAGCAACUUUGAUGCUUGGCUUCUGUGAGCCAACAAAUAAAGUUCAUUCAUAUCAA